rnacentral:rRNA from 1 species
AGCGAACGCUGGCGGCAGGCUUAAUACAUGCAAGUCGAGCGCCCGUAGCAAUACGGGAGCGGCAGACGGGUGAGUAACACGUGGGAACAUGCCCUUCGGUUCGGAAUAACUCAGGGAAACUUGAGCUAAUACCGGAUACGCCUUACGGGAAAGAUUAUCGCCGAAGAUUGGCCGCGUCCGAUUAGCUAGUUGGUGAGGUAACGGCUCACCAAGGCGACGAUCGGUAGCNGGUCUGAGAGGAUGACUCAGCCUCAUUGGGACUGAGACACGGCCCAAACUCCUACGGGAGGCAGCAGUAGGGAAUAUUGGACAAUGGGCGCAAGCCUGAUCCAGCCA